GAACAUUUGAACAUCUUGGCCAUGUUCUGUUAUAAUCUCCACCCGGCACAGCCAGAAGAGGACUGGCCACCCCUCAUAGCCUGGUUCCUCUCUAGGUUUCUUCCUAGGGAGUUUUUUCUAGCCACCGUGCUUCUACACCUGCAUUGCUUGCUGUUUCGGGUUUUAGGCUGGGUUUCUGUACAGCACUUUGAUAUAUCAGCUGAUGUACGAAGGGCUAUAUAAAUACAUUUGAUUUGGAUUUGAUGACUCAUAUGUAAGAGCGAACCAUUUUCGUGAUUGGGGUGGUUUACCUAAUGAACCAGCCACUGAGUGUAUAAGUCACCUCUUUUUUUUUUAAACACUUGCAGAUGACUAGAUUAUGGAUAUGCCUAUGUAAUGAAACCUGACCAAACCAGCAACAGAUUUGUAAAUGUUUUUUUUAUUUUUUAUUUAGGAAAAAUACAACCAUGAAGAUACAGAACGCUUAAAAAAAUCUAAUACAAAACCAAUCUGAUGCUAUGAUGAGAACAGUUGUGAAAUCACUCUAUUUGUAUCCUCAUAGAAAGUAUGUUUGUUGAAAAGAGCUUGCAAGUAGUAGAACUGUCCCACUUCACAUUAAUUCAGCGCUGUGUGUACUUGAAAUCAUUGUGUGACUCAGAUACACACAAAAAAAAAAAUCCUUACUUAAAAUGUGCAGCUAAUAAAAUAAAAACCAUUCUCAGUAGAAACCAAAAUAAA